rnacentral:rRNA from 1 species
AGCGAACGCUGGCGGCAUGCUUAACACAUGCAAGUCGCACGGUCGGGGGUAACUCCGGCAGUGGCGGACGGGUGAGUAACGCGUAGGUAUCUAUCCAGAGGUGGGGGACAACCGCGGGAAACUGCGGCUAAUACCGCAUGAUGACUGAGGUCCAAAGCAGCAAUGCGCCAUUGGAGGAGCCUGCGUUCGAUUAGCUAGUUGGUGGGGUAAAGGCUUACCAAGGCGACGAUCGAUAGCUGGUCUGAGAGGAUGAUCAGUCACAUUGGGACUGAGACACGGCCCAAACUCCUACGGGAGGCAGCAGUGGGGAAUAUUGGACAAUGGCGCAAGCCUGAUCCAGCAAUGCCGCGUGUGUGAAGAAGGUCUUCGGA